UCGAACGGACUCAUAUUGAAACCUAGUGAUUUAUGAGUUAGUGGCGCGCCGUGUGAGUAACGCGUGGAUAACCUGCCGUAUACCGGGGGAUAACACUUAGAAAUAGGUGCUAAUACCGCAUAAGCGCACGGCUCCGCAUGGGGCAGUGUGAAAAACUCCGGUGGUAUACGAUGGAUCCGCGUCUGAUUAGCUAGUUGGCGGGGUAACGGCCCACCAAGGCAGCGAUCAGUAGCCGGCCUGAGAGGGUGGACGGCCACAUUGGGACUGAGACACGGCCCAAACUCCUACGGGAGGCAGCAGUGGGGAAUAUUGCACAAUGGGGGAAACCCUGAUGCAGCGACGCCGCGUGAGUGAAGAAGUAUCUCGGUACGUAAAGCUCUAUCAGCAGGGAAGAAAAUGACGGUACCUGACUAAGAAGCCCCGGCUAACUACGUGCCAGCAGCCGCGGUAAUACGUAGGGGGCAAGCGUUAUCCGGAUUUACUGGGUGUAAAGGGAGCGUAGACGGCAGCACAAGUCUGGAGUGAAAUGCAGGGGCUUAACCCCGGAACUGCUUUGGAAACUGUGCGGCUGGAGUGCAGGAGGGGUAAGCGGAAUUCCUAGUGUAGCGGUGAAAUGCGUAGAUAUUAGGAGGAACACCGGUGGCGAAGGCGGCUUACUGGACUGUAACUGACGUUGAGGCUCGAAAGCGUGGGGAGCAAACAGGAUUAGAUACCCUGGUAGUCCACGCCGGAAACGAUGAUUACUAGG
rnacentral:rRNA from 1 species